rnacentral:sRNA from 1 species
GACACACAUAUAAGUCAUACUACGAAAA